ACGACCGUACCGCAAACCGACACUGGUGCGCGAGAUGAGUAUUCUAAGGCGCUUGAGAGAACUCAGGAGAAGGAACUCGGCAAAUUGACACCGUAACUUCGGAAGAAGGUGUGCCUUUAGUAGGUGAAGUCCCUCGCGGAUGGAGCCCAAUGAGGUUGCAAAAAUCGGUGGCUGCGACUGUUUAUUAAAAACACAGCACUCUGCAAACACGAAAGUGGACGUAUAGGGUGUGACGCCUGCCCGGUGCUGGAAGAUUAAAUGAUGGGGUGCAAGCUCUUGAUUGAAGUCCCAGUAAACGGCGGCCGUAACAAUAACGGUCCUAAGGUAGCGAAAUUCCUUGUCGGGUAAGUUCCGACCUGCACGAAUGGCGUAACGAUGGCCACACUGUCUCCUCCUGAGACUCAGCGAAGUUGAAAUGUUUGUGAUGAUGCAAUCUCCCCGCGGAAAGACGGAAAGACCCCAUGAACCUUUACUGUAGCUUUGUAUUGGACUUUGAACAGAUCUGUGUAGGAUAGGUGGGAGGCUUUGAAGCAGGGUCGCUAGAUCUUGUGGAGCCAACGUUGAAAUACCACCCUGGUGUGUUUGAGGUUCUAACCUAGGCCCGUAAUCCGGGUUGGGGACAGUGCAUGGUAGGCAGUUUGACUGGGGCGGUCUCCUCCCAAAGUGUAACGGAGGAGUUCGAAGGUACGCUAGUUACGGUCGGACAUCGUGACGAUAGUGCAAUGGCAUAAGCGUGCUUAACUGCGAGACUGACAAGUCGAGCAGAUGCGAAAGCAGGACAUAGUGAUCCGGUGGUUCUGUAUGGAAGGGCCAUCGCUCAACGGAUAAAAGGUACUCUGGGGAUAACAGGCUGAUACCGCCCAAGAGUUCAUAUCGACGGCGGUGUUUGGCACCUCGAUGUCGGCUCAUCUCAUCCUGGGGCUGUAGCCGGUCCCAAGGGUAUGGCUGUUCGCCAUUUAAAGAGGUACGUGAGCUGGGUUUAAAACGUCGUGAGACAGUUUGGUCCCUAUCUUCCGUGGGCGCUGCAGAUUUGAGGAAGCCUGCUCCUAGUACGAGAGGACCGGAGUGGACGCACCUCUGGUGUAUCGGUUGCCACGCCAGUGGCAUUGCCGAGUAGCUAUGUGCGGAAGAGAUAACCGCUGAAAGCAUCUAAGCGGGAAACUCGUUUCAAGAUGAGAUCUGCCGGGGCCUUGAGCCCCCUGAAGAGUCGUUCAAGACCAGGACGUUGAUAGGUCGGGUGUGGAAGCGCAGUAAUGCGUUAAGCUAACCGAUACUAAUUGCUCGUGCGGCUUGACCCU
rnacentral:rRNA from 1 species